CUCAGCUAUUGGGGCCCACUCAGGAAUCUCAGGAACCGGCAGCCCUUUCCCUUUAGUGGGUUGGGGAGCAGAAGAAAAGGUCUGAUCCCUGCAGCCAGUUUGGCCCCAAGUCGGAGGGGGGAGGCACCAAGACAAGCCUGCCUAAUUUCAUCUUUCCAGAUUUACCAGAUGUCAUCCCACUGUUCCUGGGUCAGUGUGAUAAUGGGAGUGAUGGGGAAAGGCAAGGUGUGUUUGGGGACCUUCCCACCCACUGGAAACCGGAGGAGUAGAGAGGAAAUAUGAAGAUAAGGUGACCAGAGACGCUACUGUGACCCCAUGGAUGUACUAUCGGACUCCAGGCUCAGACAUUUACGCUUCCAUAGGUUCAGAAACAUUCCUUAAGGAUACUGCAUGGCACAAGGUAUUUGGAUGGCCG
rnacentral:lncRNA from 1 species